rnacentral:rRNA from 1 species
CUGGCUCAGGAUGAACGCUGGCGGCGUGCCUAACACAUGCAAGUCGAGCGAGGAGAAAAGAGCUUGCUCUUGGAACCUAGCGGCGGACGGGUGAGUAACGCGUGGGUAACCUGCCCUAUACACACGGAUAACAUACCGAAAGGUAUGCUAAUACGGGAUAAAGCUAAGAUAAGGCAUCUUAUCGUAGUC